CAGCCGCCACGGUAAUACGAAGGGUGCAAGCGUUAAUCGGAAUUACUGGGCGUAAAGCGUGCGUAGGCGGUGAGUUAAGUCUGCUGUGAAAUCCCCGGGCUCAACCUGGGAAUGGCAGUGGAUACUGGCUCGCUAGAGUGUGUCAGAGGAUGGUGGAAUUCCCGGUGUAGCGGUGAAAUGCGUAGAGAUCGGGAGGAACAUCAGUGGCGAAGGCGGCCAUCUGGGACAACACUGACGCUGAGGCACGAAAGCGUGGGGAGCGAACAGGAUUAGAUACCCCGGUAGUCCCUGUCUCUUAUAC
rnacentral:rRNA from 1 species